rnacentral:rRNA from 1 species
AAGUUUGUAGUCCUCGGCGUCAGGAGUGAACGCUGGCGGCGUGCCAACACAUGCAAGUCGAACGGGGCGCGCAGGCUGAGGCUUUUCGGAGCGGAAGCCGGCGCUGCCCGACGUGGCGGACGGGUGAGUAACGCGUGGGCAACCUGCCCUGCACUGGGGGACAACAGCCGGAAACGGCUGCUAAUACCGCAUAUGCCCGCAGCCCCGCAUGGGGCGGCGGGGGAAGCUCCGGCGGUGCAGGAUGGGCCCGCGUCUGAUUAGCUGGGUUGGCGGGGCAACGGCCCACCAAGGCGACGAUCAGUAGCCGGCCUGAGAGGGUGGGCGGCCACAUUGGGACUGGGACACGGCCCAGACUCCUACGGGAGGCAGCAGUGGGGGAUAUUGCACAAUGGGGGGGAACCCUGAUGCAGCGACGCCGCGUGGGCGAUGGAGUGCUUCGGCAUGUAAAGCCCUAUCAGCAGGGAAGAAAAUGACGGUACCUGACUAAGAAGCCCCGGCUAAAUACGUG